UUCAACUUUAGGAAAAAAAAUACCCCACUCUCCGAUACGGAAGAAGCCUCCAAAACUUCUUCUUUGAGGUUCUCCAUUCUUUUCGCUCUUUUAAUGGUCAGAUUAUAGAAUUCUCAAGCCAAACUCAAUCGAUCGAUUCUGUAGAAAAAAUUUACUCAAAAUUCUAAAGAAUAACAAGCAGUUGGUGUUUGGGGAUGUCUAUGGAGCUGGUUCGCUUCCUAAACAGGUGGAGCUUGAAAAAGCCCAGAAUGUGGACCUUAAAUUCCAAGUUCCUGAUGUUGGUAAAGCGAUUCAGAAUUUUAUUCAUGAUGAAGAUAUACGGCUUGAUACGAUCAAAGCUAGAUGGUUUUUGCAUUGUUAAAGUUAGAAAUGUCAUCAAACGACAUGCUGAAUAGACGGAGCGACUUUCAAGGCAUUCAAAGAAGCCGAUGUAGAUUUAGACGGAAAGAUUUGUAGAUCUGAAUGGCAUCAAAUUGUAUCCAAAAAUCCCAAAUUGUUGAAAAUAAUGACUCUCCAAUAUCUCAGAGGACUAAAGCUAUCAAGGCCCGACUUGAGCAAAUGGACCGCGCUACUGCUGAAAAUUGCCGCCUAUCUUCUGAAUUGAGUACCCCAAUUGAUCGCUCACACUGGGUUAAUAAUUCAAGAGAGCACUGGAAUAUAGCUGCACAUUCAGUCAAAAAACUGAAUGAUCUCUAUGAUUUUAUUACUCAACCCACCAAAUUAUCACAGCAUGAAGAACAUCUAGCUGUUGAACACUGCAAACACAACAACCUAACUGGCUGCACUGACUGACUGGAAAAGCACAGCUGCUGCCUGCUGCCAACUGAAACCCACCAGAACUCUAUCCGAAAGACCCUGCAGAACCUGCUCAGAAGCAAAAGCCACUAGACCAAGCUGCUGCCACCUGACUACAUUAUUUCGCGCGUGCAUAAAUCAGGAAAUAAUGUGCAUAAUCUAACUUAUAUAUUUAGAGGUUAUACUUAGAAUUCGUGUAUAUGAUGUGUUCUCUAAUCUAGGAAAUGCGCUCCUCAAGUUUGUACUUGAGUUUUGAUUUCCUCCAUUGCACCUUAGUUUUGAUUUCCUCCAUUGUUUCAUCUUUCUUUUCUAAGGUGAGGAACCAUGCAUUUUCUUGAGGUUCAUUUAGUUGAUUUAAUUUUUCUGAAUUUUUAGGGAUUAUAACACUCAAUUUAUGAGUUCAUUGAUUAAUUCAGAAUUUAGGAAUUUUCUGAUUUUUUCGAGUUUGAUCAAAAGUGGAGACACAUCAAGGAGAAGAAUUAACAAUCCGGGAAAAAAAAUCUACGAGAGAAGAAAUUAAGUAAUAUGAUGUAAAUUUUGAAUUGUUUUAGUUGUUUUUACUUUUUAGUACUGAAUUUGAGUAAAUUGUGUUCAUUUCUUAUUUUACGUAAAAUCCCCACGAAUUAUAUAAUUUGGUUUGGUUUGUGACAAUAUAUCCAUCUAUCAUUUUAGUUUG